UACGGGGGGGGCAAGCGUUGUUCGGAAUUACUGGGCGUAAAGGGCUCGUAGGCGGCCAACUAAGUCGGACGUGAAAUCCCCAGGCUUAACUUGGGAACUGCGUCCGAUACUGGAUGGCUUGAAUCCGGGAGAGGGAUGCGGAAUUCCAGGUGUAGCGGUGAAAUGCGCAGAUAUUAGGAGGAACACCGGUGGCGAAGGCGCCACUCUGGGCCGAAACUGACGCUGAGGAGCGAAAGCAUGGGUAGCAAACAGG
rnacentral:rRNA from 1 species